rnacentral:tRNA from 1 species
GCCCCGAUAGCAUAGUUGGAUAGUGCAGCAACCUUCUAAGUUGUCUAGGGUAGGUUCGAAUCCUACUCGGGGCG